rnacentral:rRNA from 1 species
AUUGAACGCUGGCGGCAGGCCUAACACAUGCAAGUCGAGCGGAUGAAGGGAGCUUGCUCCUGGAUUCAGCGGCGGACGGGUGAGUAACGCCUAGGAAUCUGCCUGGUAGUGGGGGAUAACGUCCGGAAACGGGCGCUAAUACCGCAUACGUCCUGAGGGAGAAAGUGGGGGAUCUUCGGACCUCACGCCAUCAGAUGAGCCUAGGUCGGAUUAGCUAGUUGGUGGGGUAAAGGCCUACCAAGGCGACGAUCCGUAACUGGUCUGAGAGGAUGAUCAGUCACACUGGAACUGAGACACGGUCCAGACUCCUACGGGAGGCAGCAGUGGGGAAUAUUGGACAAUGGGCGAAAGCCUGAUCCAGCCAUGCCGCGUGUGUGAAGAAGGUCUUCGGAUUGUAAAGCACUUUAAGUUGGGAGGAAGGGCAGUAAGUUAAUACCUUGCUGUUUUGACGUUACCAACAGAAUAAGCACCGGCUAACUUCGUG